CAUCAGCCAUAUAUCUCGUAACUUAAACGAUACACCAAAUCACGAUAAGAUAUAGAGACAAAUUCGACGAUCGUGUUAACUAAUGUCCCUCGUUGAAAUUAAAUUGAAAUUAGAACGAUCGGAUAAUCAUCGCCGGAGGGUGGUCUCGAAUUCGUAUGAUUGAUGACUGUACGUCGCUCUAAUUCGCGGCAUGUGACGUAUUUGGGAAGGUGGUGCCGGAACGAUGUUCGAAUUCGGGUCGAUCGGCUGAACGUCUUUCACGGUCGAACGAAAAUAUCGGCGGUUCGCCGCUACGCCACUGGGACCCUUCGAAAAGGUUGCCCGGUAACCCGAAGGUUGCAUUUAUACGAAUUGUGGCGGAAGGAACCAUUGUAUAAUCCAAGAUGGCCUCCACCUCGGAGAGGAUUAUUAUUGGCUAAUACGAGGCAAGAGGCUCCGCCUUGGCUCACGGCUCGUGACGGGAUGAUUUAUUGGGAUUUCUGUCUGUUCGCCCCUGCGCUGCAACGAACAUACCGUGUGCCUAGCUUCUAGGAGGCCGGUACGCCUGGAACACCGCGAUAUUGGAUUUCGACAUUUCGCCCAACUGCAGCUGUAACAGCCCGCGGAUUUCUUCUAUACGUCGUACAGAUGUCUCUAUUCUCGCUUUGUCCACGUGGAAUUCCAUGUGUCUUUGCCUGACCUAAUUUCCCCUUCCUAUUUCAGCGCUGCUUUACUCCAUCGCUCUUUCGUUCGAUCCGCUAAUGAAAUUUUCGACGAAGAUUGCUUUGUUCCUGGAAUUCCAGCUUUGUUGAUAUUUAAUAUAGGAUGGUAAAAUAACUUCAUCCAACUGAUAGACGCCGAAAUACGUAUAUAUACGUAAGUGGAAAUUCGAAGGCUCGAUGCAGUGGUUCUUGAGUUAUGAGUGCAGUCGAGAAGUGGGUGAAGAUCAAACAAGCGUGUCGACUUGAACGUCUGUCAGGUCAAUUGACGGUUUGUCUCCCUUUGUUAUUUAUGGUCAAGGACGUUCUGCCGGUAGAAUUACCCGUAUCGACUCGCUGCUAGGUCAUUAGACUAUCCAGAUCUGCUUGAGCAACUGACAUCCACUGAACAUAAGAAAUCUAUUUUAAAGAACAGUACCUAACGGAUCUUAAAACGUACGUUCGGCACGUUUAAAAUAUCAACAAUGAAUUGUCAAAGUAAAUUGAACUGAAUAAUUCCCACUUCCGACGAUUCACAACACUGUCUGUCACGCCAACGAUCAGAACGCCUGAAGGUUAUCAAGGACGUGAAACGGAAUCGUCAUCGAGUGCAUCCAGGUUGCAACGUAGAAAGGUGGAGGCGAAGAAGAAGAAGGAAGAUGGAAAGGGAAGAAAAGAAAGAGAUAGACAGAUAGACGGACGGAGAAGGGGAGAAGUGUGAGGCGGUCGAGUGAAGAGCCGGCAAGAUAGAGGGGCUCGGCGGGAGGAUGGCGGUCAGAAUUUAUGGCCGCUUUAUCACUUUACCGGCCUUGCCGCGUCUCCUUUAGCCGCGAGGAGGGCAGGAUCUCACGAUGAACUUUGGCACUCGACUCCGCCGCACUCGACGAGCGGUGAGCCCCUCUAACUUUCUUGUUUACUCGCGUUUCGCCGAAGAGAGAUUACGCGUACACCUGUUUCCUCUUUCGCCCUUUCCCGGUAUCCUACAACCGAAUCAGACACCGUUUGGGAAUGGAAAUUGCCUGCUGAUGAUUACACUGAGUUUUAAACCGAGUCAUCGAGGGUUCACGAACCGUGAGGGAUCGUUUCAUAAAUUUGAUUUAUCUUUUAUUUAUCUUACCCUCAUUGGACAAUAUUUCGAUCGUCGACGUAUAAAACAUUCAGACAUCCGCACGAGGAUUACAAUUACCGCUAUCGAGGAAAAAUCUGCAACAAGCGGGUUUGGCGCACAGAUCGGGGCGUUCCACGUGUCACCCCUGGCGCAGGAAGAAAACCGCGCGCGGCAGGCGUCGCGAAAUUUACGCGAGGCCGUGCAGGCGUCGUGACGCGCGUACGACUGCAUAACGCAUAAAGUAACCCCCAUUAACAGACCAUAAAUUCAAUCCCUGCGGCACCGUUGUUAUGUAUGAGCGUCGUUAGUGUUAAUAGAGUGUUAAUUGCUCCUAUACCGCUCUCGAUUCUGUUCAGGACGUAGGUGACGGAGCCGCUGAUGGUGGUAGAAGGCGAGACGGACGAGCGGCGAGAAAGAGAGACGAGGAGAGAGAAUGCCAUGGAGAGAGACCGUAGAGGAUUCUCGGUUGCGUGUUGUCCAGCUACUACUAGCGCCGUGCUUCUGCUGUUUUGCAUAGGGAAUGCAUCAAUUUUCGGCGCUUCUCGUUCACAGAUCCCUCUCUUCCUUUUACUCUCUUUCUCUCUUUACCACCCUUCUUGCCUCUAUCUUCGUACUCUCUGCCCCUAGCCGGGCGCAGCCUAACUUCCGGCACGCACAACUUCCACCGUUACCCCCACCAGCGUAGCGUUUCCCGUAACUGUAAUUCGCAUCGAAGAUAAUUGAUAUCCCUGUUGGUCGCUUCCCUCCAUCAGCGUUACGUGAUCGCCACUUUCGUGACGUUUGUAGUAACGAUGAUCGUUUGCGAUUUUCUUGUUGCCCUCCGAUGGCACUUUGUCGCUGAUUUACGGUUGCUUAUAUCGAUUCUGGUAAUUCCGAUCUUCGUCCAGGAUAUAGCGCUUGACUGACUAUAAAUGAAGCUUUCAGCACACGUGUCUAUAUAGCGGAUAAGUGGAAUGUAAAGUUGUUCGUUAGAUUUCAUUGUUCUUUGGGCACACAUAGUAGAUAUUUUUAGUUAAGGCGUUUCUCAUUGAUCUAAUUAUAUAACUGCCAUUAUGGAAGCCUUUUUAUAGUUUCUUCUUUAAUAUUGUACUUUAGAAUUGAUAGUUCAGCGAAUGGCUCUUAAAGAGGAGGAAUUUCUACAAUCUACAAAUCAGUGCAAAUUUAGUAAUCCAAUUAUUUGAAUAGAAAAUGCAUUCCUCCUGAAUAAGCCCAUUGACAAUUUGUCUUUAACUUUCUCACCUUAAUUGGUCUGAUCAAACUGUACCAAUAGUUAAGCUAUACCUACCAAUUAUGUUCAUCUUUAAGUUUGUAAAACGGAUUCUUGGUAUUCCUAUUUUAGAAUGAAUGUUCCCAAUUGGAAUAACAUUUUUAAGCAAGUUUAGAACGAAACUUUAGGAGUGUCGUUAAAGUAAAAGUUGUACUUGGCGGAAUGAGAUAAGCGCGUGUGAUAGGUGGAAAUAUUCAGAGUCGAAGGCUGAGUGCGAGGAAAACGGUGGCACUUGCCUCGGAUCAUUCGGCACCGGUGUGGAGGAGCUAGAAUACAUAACGUAGAACGGGACAUAAAUCAAUAAUAUCGCCGCUCCCUCUCCUUCCUUUCCUACCCCGGGACACGGCGGUGCUCCCCCGAGCAGCGUCUCUCCUCUGCAAACCGCCGACCGACGCCGGCGUCUCUCUCGCAAUCAAUGUUCGCGUCUAAAGCGUCACAAACAAUAUAUGACCUCCGGCGUUCGACGAUUAAUACGUCCUGUCGCAUGCGUGCAAAAGUAUUUCCACGACUUAAUUAACGAAUCAAUCGACGCGCGCGUCCACCAGACUGGUGCACGCCGCGAGAAUUAUAUUUCGAGCACAAAGCUUCCGCUUCUUCUAUGUUUAUGCGAUCCUUUCUUUUCAACGCAAUAUCCUUUGUUGAUUAGUAAAAGUCCUUCAUCUUCUUUUGAAGUAAUUCUACAUUUAAUAAAACUGAAUAAAAACGCUAUGACAUUUAGUGAAGCUACUUAGACUUUGAUGCGAUAGUUGUAAACAUUCAAAGGUAUUUGAAUUCUUCAAGAAAUGAAUUCCUAUAUAUAGAAGUACCAGACCAUCAGAUCCUAACUACUUUGUAGAAUGAACCCUGUUCGCCCAACUUUUCUCGUGAUAGCGAUCAAUCUACUGUUUCCUUGGCGUUGUCAGCCGAGACUGAGACUGCGGGAAAGCAACUUUCACCGUGUUACAGGGCCGUCUAUUAGCGCGUUAAAGCGAAGUUAGUCAGGGUCGUCGGGGGUAGCAGGUUCCCAGCUGGUUCCGCGGAGUUUCGUGCUGUACGUGUCGUCGAUACGGAAAGGCUAAAUGCAAAACCUUGUAAGGGGAGAUGGUCUCGAGUUGCGACAGGCCAACAAAACAUUCUCGCAAUUAGCCUGUAUAUCCCGAUGACGCUGGUGUGCAGUAUCCUCAUGGGGGUAGAGAGUGUCCACGGAUGGUCAGGUUAGAAAUUUCGUUUCGUCCAGCUUUCAUCCCCUUUCUCUCCUUCGCGUCAACAUUUGAUACGUACUACCAGGUUGCUGGCCACCCUCGAAUAAAAAGAAAAGAACGUUAAAUAAUAAAAAGCUGCCGGAUUUAUGCUCUGGAGAAUUGGCCGUGUAGAUUGAGAGACGCGUGCUAGUUGCAGGCAAAGAGAGAGGGACUGGAAAUUCGUCGGACGAAAUUGAAAAGUGGCCGGGAGAUAUGGCCCCGGACGAAUAUCGGUAGGCAGAUGGAUGAGGAGCGGCCUCGAACAGGGGAUUGAAACGGGCAAACGGACGUGAAAAAAUACCCGGCGAAGCCCGAUCGACUGAAAAGUGCUUGUACCAGCUACGCUUUUUCUUUUUCUCCUUCUACUCCCUUCUUUUUUCUCAUUCGGUAUUCUUCCAUUUUCGCACCGUUUGCCCGCUUUGUUUUUGUUUUUCAAGGGAAAAUUAUGUGGAUAAAUCGUGCCACCUAUGUGGCUCCAAAUGUUCGCGCGACUUUGCUUCCUCUUUUAAAGGUGGAACGAGGGUAGAUUUGCUGGAGGAUGAUGCCAGUUCACACGAUACGUCACGAUUAAUACCUUAGUUUCUAGAUUUCAUAACAAAUCUUCAAAUGUAUAACGAAUGCUUCAACUGUUCCAGGCGAUGCAGUGUAAAAUUUUUAAUUGCAAUGAAAAUUAUUGUUGAUAUCAAUGGAUCAACAUCAUAAUAAGAUACAGAUGCAAGAUAUAUGUAUUUCUGGAAGCACGAAGUUGAUGAACCUGGAAUGGAAAUUCAUGAAGGGUGUGGUUCCUGUGGAGGAAUAUAACUUGGCUUUCAUCAAAUACCGAUCGUUACAUUUAAGACACGUGUACAGGAUUUGACAAAUGGAUUCAUUUCGACGUAAUCUCCAACCUUCGUUGCAUUUUUCAUGAAAUUUUAUUAUACAUUUCACCCCAUACAUAACAUCGUCGUCUUAUCAUCGUGCUUAGGUUACCGAUUAAGACGUUCAGUCUUUUCUAGGAUGAAAAUUAUUUACUAAGCUACUCUGUAGGUAGACCAUUGCCAAGACAAUUCAUAAUUUUCCGAAAUUCUUUCAAAGAAUUGCUACACACCACGCUACUUAAACCGUCAUGUACCACAUCAUGGAUCGGCGACUAAACUGAAAAAGCAAGGAUAGCCCGCAGCAAGUGGGAAGUUGGCCAAAACGAGGGAAGCCGGUGAAGUUUGUAACGAAGUGGUCGCGAGACCAUUUCAAAACUGGCGCCGUUUUCGAGGUGGCUGGCAGCCAUUAGGUUGCCCCGUGACAUUCGAGGGAGAGGAUGAUGGUUCCAUCGAGUAGGUAGUGCCUAGACGGGGCUCCACCCAGCACUUAGUUCACGUCGUGACUGUGGCCCGGGGCACGGCCGUUUCCAGGGUACAGUCACGCCCCUGCCGUGCCGGCACUGUACUCCGAUUCGCUGGCCCAUAUCUCAUCUGGUCCAUCGCAUUAGCCUAAUCUGCCAACUACGAGAGAAUAGAGGGACGAACAAGCAAGAGAGCGAGAAAGCCGGAGAAAGCAAGAGCAAGAGGAAGAGAUGGAAAGGGAGUAGAAAAAAAGGAACGGAAAAACAACAAAAACGCGGCCAUCGAUGCAUGCCCCCGCCGCCACGAGAGAUCGCUUGGUGAGGUGCUGCCACCUUCGCGGCCGAACCGUCAACGCGACCGAUCGAUUUUUUUACAAUGUUUCACCGGAACGUUUCCCGUGCCUUCGGUUCCAUCCCUUAUCUCGCGAGGAUGUUCCUCGAUUCGCGACAUCGAACCCCCCUUUUUGGCGAUUCCAUGACACCAGACUGGACGAUUUUCCGCCGAUCGAAACGGCACCUUCCACCGACAUACUUGAAGUAGCGCGCAGGGCGGACAUGUUGCAUCGGCUGAGCAAUCGCUGGAGCAACAGUUUUUGCGAAUUAUCUUAGAAACACGGCCUGGGUGCGAUCAAGCAGUCAGUUUGCGUCUCACGACGGACGAGGAAGCAGCCUGUCGUCACGCGGUUCGACUUUCUGUUCUGUUCGAGUCAUUGUCGGCGAGAUCGAUGUUGAAAAAGUUUGAAGAAGAAGAUGUUUGGUCCAGCAGCAACAUUUUUUCCCUCUGCUCUACCACACCACUGGGACAAUGUUACAAGCGUGGAUUGCAACUUAUAAGGAAAGCUCGAAGAAAGUCGAAGGCUUACACGAAGCUUCGCGCGAAAUCAAGAUCUUGGUUUUAAGGUGGGGACACUGAGGUAAUGGCGUGUGCAUUAUUCUGAUAAAUCGCCUCGGCUGGCGUCAAACCUGACUCUGGCCUGACGGCAACCUUGGUCAAUCGUAUCUACUUCUACGCAAGUAGAAUCGAUCCUGUGCAGGAUAUUCCAAAGGAGACUUCUAAGGAAAAAUACCACUACGUACAUGUGCUACGAAUUGCGCCGGUUAUAUCAGAACUCUUUCUAUCAAUUUAGGAGAUACUUUACAAUUUGCCUUGAAAUUAAAAAAUUAAAGACUGUGAAGGUAAAGGAUUUAUCAAGUAAUUAAUUCUAUAACAUAAUUCGAUAAUUAUGGUGGUAAUUUGGAAUGCAUAAUGCGAUAUGUUUUUUAAUAAAAUAUAGCGUGAAAUACGAUUUUACAAUUUAUAAAAUCAAUUACAGUUUGGCACGUUCAUAAUUGUAUGAUUAAAAAUUGUACGAUUUUGAAAUUUUGUAUAAAAAUUGUAAUAAAUUCUAUAACGUAAUUCGAUAAUGAUGGUGAUAAUUUGUAAUGUAUAAUGCGAUAUACUUUUUAAUAUAAUAUAUAAAAUCAAUUACAGUUUGACAUGUUC